UCGUAGACUCCUACGGGAGGCAGCAGUGAGGAAUAUUGGACAAUGGGCGCAAGCCUGAUCCAGCCAUGCCGCGUGCAGGAAGACUGCCCUAUGGGUUGUAAACUGCUUUUAUACGGGAAGAAACACUCCCUCGUGAGGGAGCUUGACGGUACCGUAAGAAUAAGGAUCGGCUAACUCCGUGCCAGCAGCCGCGGUAAUACGGAGGAUCCAAGCGUUAUCCGGAAUCAUUGGGUUUAAAGGGUCCGUAGGUGGAUAAUUAAGUCAGAGGUGAAAUCCUGCAGCUCAACUGUAGAAUUGCCUUUGAUACUGGUUAUCUUGAGUCAUUAUGAAGUGGUUAGAAUAUGUAGUGUAGCGGUGAAAUGCAUAGAUAUUACAUAGAAUACCAAUUGCGAAGGCAGAUCACUAAUAAUGUACUGACACUGAUGGACGAAAGCGUGGGGAGCGAACAGGAUUAGAUACCCUGGUAG
rnacentral:rRNA from 1 species